UGGGGAAUUUUGGACAAUGGGCGAAAGCCUGAUCCAGCAAUGCCGCGUGUGUGAAGAAGGCCUUCGGGUUGUAAAGCACUUUUGUCCGGAAAGAAAUCCUUGGCUCUAAUACAGUCGGGGGAUGACGGUACCGGAAGAAUAAGCACCGGCUAACUACGUGCCAGCAGCCGCGGUAAUACGUAGGGUGCAAGCGUUAAUCGGAAUUACUGGGCGUAAAGCGUGCGCAGGCGGUUUGCUAAGACCGAUGUGAAAUCCCCGGGCUCAACCUGGGAACUGCAUUGGUGACUGGCAGGCUAGAGUAUGGCAGAGGGGGGUAGAAUUCCACGUGUAGCAGUGAAAUGCGUAGAGAUGUGGAGGAAUACCGAUGGCGAAGGCAGCCCCCUGGGCCAAUACUGACGCUCAUGCACGAAAGCGUGGGGAGCAAACAGGAUUAGAUACCCUGGAUACGUCCACCGCCUAAAACGAUGUCAACUAGUUGUUGGGGAUUCAUUUCCUUAGUAACGUAGCUAACGCGUGAAGUUGACCGCCUGGGGAGUACGGUCGCAAGAUUAAAACUUCAAAUGAAUUGACGGGGUCAUAGCUGUUUCCU
rnacentral:rRNA from 1 species